rnacentral:rRNA from 1 species
AAUGGAGGAAACUCUGAUGCAGCGAUGCCGCGUGAGUGAAGAAGGCCCUUGGGUUGUAAAGCUCUUUUGUCGGGAAAGAUAAUGACUGUACCCGAAGAAUAAGGUCCGGCUAACUUCGUGCCAGCAGCCGCGGUAAUACGAAGGGACCUAGCGUAAUUCGGAAUUACUGGGCGUAAAGCGCGCGUAGGCGGUUAAGUAAGUUAAUUGUGAAAGCCCAAAGCUCAACUUUGGAAUUGCAAUUAAAACUAUUUAGCUAGAGUUUAUCAGAGGAAAGCGGAAUACAUAGUGUAGAGGUGAAAUUCGUAGAUAUUAUGUAGAACACCAGUUGCGAAGGCGGCUUUCUGGGAUAACACUGACGCUGAGGUGCGAAAGUAUGGGUAGCGAAGAGGAUC